rnacentral:rRNA from 1 species
AUUGAACGCUGGCGGCAGGCCUAACACACGCAAGUCGAGCGGCAGCGGGAAGUAGCUUGCUACUUUGCCGGCGAGCCGCGGACGGGUGAGUAAUGUCUGGGAAACUGCCUGAUGGAGGGGGAUAACUACUGGAAACGGUAGCUAAUACCGCAUAAUGUCGCAAGACCAAAGAGGGGGACCUUCGGGCCUCUUGCCAUCAGAUGUGCCCAGAUGGGAUUAGCCAGUAGGUGGGGUAACGGCUCACCUAGGCGACGACCCCUGGCUGGUCUGAGGGGAUGACCAGCCACACUGGAACUGAGAAACGGUCCAGACUCCUACGGGAGGCAGCAGUGGGGAAUAUUGCACAAUGGGCGCAAGCCUGAUGCAGCCAUGCCGCGUGUAUGAAGAAGGCCUUCGGGUUGUAAAGUACUUUCAGCGGGGAGGAAGGUGUCGAGGUUAAUAACCUCAGCAAUUGACGUUACCCGCAGAAGAAGCACCGGCUAACUCCGUGCCAGCAGCCGCAGUAA